AGACUAUAUGCCCUGGAGACUCCUACGGGAGGCAGCAGUGGGGAAUAUUGCACAAUGGGCGCAAGCCUGAUGCAGCGACGCCGCGUGAGGGAUGGAGGCCUUCGGGUUGUAAACCUCUUUUAUCGGGGAGCAAGCGAGAGUGAGUUUACCCGUUGAAUAAGCACCGGCUAACUACGUGCCAGCAGCCGCGGUAAUACGUAGGGUGCAAGCGUUAUCCGGAAUUAUUGGGCGUAAAGGGCUCGUAGGCGGUUCGUCGCGUCCGGUGUGAAAGUCCAUCGCUUAACGGUGGAUCCGCGCCGGGUACGGGCGGGCUUGAGUGCGGUAGGGGAGACUGGAAUUCCCGGUGUAACGGUGGAAUGUGUAGAUAUCGGGAAGAACACCAAUGGCGAAGGCAGGUCUCUGGGCCGUUACUGACGCUGAGGAGCGAAAGCGUGGGGAGCGAACAGGAUUAGAUACCCUGGUAGUCCACGCCGUAAACGGUGGAUGCUGGAUGUGGGGCCCGUUCCACGGGUUCCGUGUCGGAGCUAACGCGUUAAGCAUCCCGCCUGGGGAGUACGGCCGCAAGGCUAAAACUCAAAGGAAUUGACGGGGGCCCGCACAAGCGGCGGAGCAUGCGGAUUAAUUCGAUGCAACGCGAAGAACCUUACCUGGGCUUGACAUGUUCCCGACGGUCGUAGAGAUACGGCUUCCCUUCGGGGCGGGUUCACAGGUGGUGCAUGGUCGUCGUCAGCUCGUGUCGUGAGAUGUUGGGUUAAGUCCCGCAACGAGCGCAACCCUCGCCCCGUGUUGCCAGCGGAUUAUGCCGGGAACUCACGGGGGACCGCCGGGGUUAACUCGGAGGAAGGUGGGGAUGACGUCAGAUCAUCAUGCCCCUUACGUCCAGGGCUUCACGCAUGCUACAAUGGCCGGUACAACGGGAUGCGACACGGCGACGUGGAGCGGAUCCCUGAAAACCGGUCUCAGUUCGGAUCGCAGUCUGCAACUCGACUGCGUGAAGGCGGAGUCGCUAGUAAUCGCGAAUCAGCAACGUCGCGGUGAAUGCGUUCCCGGGCCUUGUACACACCGCCCGUCAAGUCAUGAAAGUGGGCAGCACCCGAAGCCGGUGGCCUAACCCCUUGUGGGAUGGAGCCGUCUAAGGUGAGGCUCGUGAUUGGGACUAAGUCGUAACAAGGUAGCCGUACCGGAAGGUGCGGCUG
rnacentral:rRNA from 1 species